UCAACAGAGCAGGAGUCCCCAGCACAGCA
rnacentral:piRNA from 1 species